rnacentral:rRNA from 1 species
UACAGAGGGUGCAAGCGUUAAUCGGAAUUACUGGGCGUAAAGCGUGACGCAGGCGGUUAUGUAAGACAGAUGUGAAAUCCCCGGGCUCAACCCUGGGAACUGCAUUUGUGACUGCAUAGCUAGAGUACGAUAGAGGGGGAUGGAAUUCCGCGUGUAGCAGUGAAAUGCGUAGAUAUGCGGAGGAACACCGAUGGCGAAGGCAAUCCCCUGGACCUGUACUGACGCUCAUGCACGAAAGCGUGGGGAGCAAACAGG